rnacentral:rRNA from 1 species
UACGUAGGGAGCAAGCGUUAUCCGGAUUUACUGGGUGUAAAGGGCGCGUAGGCGGGAGUACAAGUCAGGUGUGAAAUCUGGGGGCUCAACCCCCAAACUAGCAUUUGUAAACUAGUAUUUCUUUGAGUGAUGGAGAGGCAAGUGGAAUUCCUAGUGUAGCGGUGAAAUGCGUAGAUAUUAGGAGGAACACCAGUGGCGAAGGCGACUUGCUGGACAUUAACUGACGCUGAGGCGCGAAAGCGUGGGGAGCAAACAGGAUUAGAUACCCCGGUAGUCCCU